AUACGGAGGGUGCAAGCGUUGUUCGGAAUCACUGGGCGUAAAGCGCGCGUAGGCGGUCUGUUAUGUCAGAUGUGAAAGUCCUCGGCUCAACCGGGGAAGUGCAUUUGAAACUGGCAGACUUGAGUACUGGAGGGGGUGGUGGAAUUCCCGGUGUAGAGGUGAAAUUCGUAGAUAUCGGGAGGAAUACCGGUGGCGAAGGCGACCACCUGGCCAGAUACUGACGCUGAGGUGCGAAAGCGUGGGGAGCAAACAGGAUUAGAAACCCCAGUAGUCC
rnacentral:rRNA from 1 species